GGAGUUAGCCGGUGCUUCUUCUGUGAGUGAUGUCCUUCCUGCCGGCUAUUAACCCGCAGGCCUUCUUCCUCACUGAAAGUGCUUUACAACCCGAAGGCCUUCUUCACACACGCGGCAUGGCUGGAUCAGGGUUGCCCCCAUUGUCCAAUAUUCCCCACUGCUGCCUCCCGUAGGAGUCUGGGCCGUGUCUCAGUCCCAGUGUGGCUGAUCAUCCUCUCAGACCAGCUACGGAUCGUCGCCUUGGUGAGCCGUUACCUCACCAACCAGCUAAUCCGACAUAGGCUCAUCCGAUAGCGCGAGGCCCGAAGGUCCCCCGCUUUCCCCCGUAGGGCGUAUGCGGUAUUAGCCUGGGUUUCCCCAGGUUAUCCCCCACUACCGGGCAGAUUCCUAUGCAUUACUCACCCGUCCGCCGCUCGCCACCAGGGAGCAAGCUCCCCGUGCUGCCGCUCGACUUGCAUGUGUUAGGCCUGCCGCCAGCGUUCAAUCUGAGCCAGAAUCAAACUGUGA
rnacentral:rRNA from 1 species